GGCCUGGGAACACGCAUUGCGCAAAGGCGGUAAAGCGUACGCGAAUUUACCUUAGGUUGAUUGAGAUGUCUGUUUGGCUUAUAGCUAUUUUCGUCUUUGAGAGAAACAAAGCAUUUUAAUGGUUUUACAAGUCGAAGAGACUAACAACAUAAAUAUUUUGACCAUCAGCCCUGUUAUGAAAUACUUCUGUCAACCAAAGAGAUAAUCCAAUACAAGGGGAUAUCUCUUCUCCACAAGAAAUAUUAAAGAAGACUGUUUUUAUCAUAAGACAAGGAUAACGGAGUGAUCCUGAAAGCGAAGAUUUCACAUUUGCAAGCUAUCCUUGAUUCUAACUCCAAGUAUCAAGAUGUCUAUGAAACAAAUCAAUCUAUAGCAAUCAGAAUGGAUCAAUACAGGUAGAAUAUAAGUGGAUCUGGAGACCCUUCAAAAUGGUAUGACAAUAACAAGGCAUAGUAAGGAGACCCAGAAUUUCCACAAGAGUUCAUUUUGGUGCUAGUUCCCAAUCGAAGGCCUUCUUUUCUAAUAGCAGUAAGCAGUAAUUUAGGAUCUAAAUUUAGCUUCAUGGAAGUUACCCUAUUAUCUUUUGGUGGGGGAUGGGGGUCUGGGUCUGGGAUUGAAACCAGGACCUCACACAUGCAAAUGCUGUACCACUGAACCACACCCACAACCCUGUUACCUAUUAAAGAUGAUGUUAGCUAA